UUUGAUCCUGGCUCAGAUUGAACGCUGGCGGCAGGCCUAACACAUGCAAGUCGAGCGGCAGCGGGAAAGUAGCUUGCUACUUUUGCCGGCGAGCGGCGGACGGGUGAGUAAUGCCUGGGGAUCUGCCCAGUCGAGGGGGAUAACUACUGGAAACGGUAGCUAAUACCGCAUACGCCCUACGGGGGAAAGCAGGGGACCUUCGGGCCUUGCGCGAUUGGAUGAACCCAGGUGGGAUUAGCUAGUUGGUGAGGUAAUGGCUCACCAAGGCGACGAUCCCUAGCUGGUCUGAGAGGAUGAUCAGCCACACUGGAACUGAGACACGGUCCAGACUCCUACGGGAGGCAGCAGUGGGGAAUAUUGCACAAUGGGGGAAACCCUGAUGCAGCCAUGCCGCGUGUGUGAAGAAGGCCUUCGGGUUGUAAAGCACUUUCAGCGAGGAGGAAAGGUUGGUAGCUAAUAACUGCCAGCUGUGACGUUACUCGCAGAAGAAGCACCGCUAACUCCG
rnacentral:rRNA from 2 species